rnacentral:rRNA from 1 species
GACGGGGGGGGGCAAGUGUUCUUCGGAAUGACUGGGCGUAAAGGGCACGUAGGCGGUGAAUCGGGUUGAAAGUGAAAGUCGCCAAAAAGUGGCGGAAUGCUCUCGAAACCAAUUCACUUGAGUGAGACAGAGGAGAGUGGAAUUUCGUGUGUAGGGGUGAAAUCCGUAAAUAUACGAAGGAACGCCAAAAGCGAAGGCGGAUCUCUGGGCCUUACCUGACGCUCAGGCGCGAAAGCUAGGGGAGCGAACUGG